UGAAAGGUUUCUAUGAUUCUUUUUUUUUUCCCACUGCGGAGGGAUCUGUUCCUCCUAUUUUUUAUGCUACUUGGAGGAGUGCAAUUCUGAAGAAGCUUAGAGAUAUUGGGAGGCUGUUGUUGAUUAAAAAGCUAUUAACAGUGGAGAAUCAAACAAAGAGGAACUGGAACUUGCCUUUGAGAUGUGUUCUGUGCUGAGCAUUAGGAAAUCGUGGGCUAUUUGUUCAUCAGUUGGAGAAUGGUGGCAGGUUCUAAGCAUUUCUGGCAUUUCUAUACAUUUGCUUAAUGUAUAGAAAUUACUUCUAUACAUUGAAUUAAUUAGCAAUUUAUUUAGAUUUUAUUUAUUAUUUAACUAAUAUUACUUCUUUUUGUGCAUACUAAGUAACAACAUGCUGCGAGGAAAACGAUUCAGAGAUGUUGAGUUUCAGCACA
rnacentral:lncRNA from 1 species